rnacentral:rRNA from 1 species
GGGUGAGUAACACGUGGGUGAUCUGCCCUGCACUUCGGGAUAAGCCUGGGAAACUGGGUCUAAUACCGGAUAUGACCUCAGGUUGCAUGACUUGGGGUGGAAAGAUUUAUCGGUGCAGGAUGGGCCCGCGGCCUAUCAGCUUGUUGGUGGGGUAAUGGCCUACCAAGGCGACGACGGGUAGCCGACCUGAGAGGGUGACCGGCCACACUGGGACUGAGACACGGCCCAGACUCCUACGGGAGGCAGCAGUGGGGAAUAUUGCACAAUGGGCGAAAGCCUGAUGCAGCGACGCCGCGUGAGGGAUGACGGCCUUCGGGUUGUAAACCUCUUUCAGCAGGGACGAAGCGCAAGUGACGGUACCUGCAGAAGAAGCACCGGCUAACUACGUGCCAGCAGCCGCGGUAAUACGUAGGGUGCAAGCGUUGUCCGGAAUUACUGGGCGUAAAGAGUUCGUAGGCGGUUUGUCGCGUCGUUUGUGAAAACCAGCAGCUCAACUGCUGGCUUGCAGGCGAUACGGGCAGACUUGAGUACUGCAGGGGAGACUGGAAUUCCUGGUGUAGCGGUGAAAUG